UACGGAGGGUGCAAGCGUUAUCCGGAUUUACUGGGUUUAAAGGGUGCGUAGGUGGAUAAUUAAGUCAGUGGUGAAAUCUUCAGGCUUAACCUGGAAACUGCCAUUGAUACUAUUUAUCUUGAAUACUUUGGAGGUAAGCGGAAUAUGUCAUGUAGCGGUGAAAUGCUUAGAUAUGACAUAGAACACCAAUUGCGAAGGCAGCUUACUACACAGUAAUUGACACUGAGGCACGAAAGCGUGGGGAGCAAACAGG
rnacentral:rRNA from 1 species